CUUCAAGAUCCUCACUCACUGAGUGAGCUCUCUUCCUUGAAGCACUCAGAAGAUGAAGAAAAACCUGAGAUUGUGAACCAAGAAUCACUAACAGAAAGUACUAGCUUGAAACAUAAGCUGAGAAACUUGGAAGACAAAGACAUACCAGAAGGUAGUUUUGCUAAGUCACAACAAUCAAGAUUGGAAGAAGAGGUUGCUCCGGGAUCCCCUUUCUCAAUAACAGAAGAAAGAGAGUUGCCAGAAGGAAUUUCCACUUCAUCCCUAGAAGUUGUGCCAGAGAACUUGAACGGUUCUGCCAUUCUCCCAACAUUUGAAAACUUCACUAAAAAACGGAAAAGAAAAUAUGAGCUUAGGUACAGAAAGCGUCCGCUUAAUUCAGAAAAUGCAAAGAAAGCACCGGAUUGCCUAAUAAAACUUUUAAACCAGAUGCAACUGUUCAGACUCAAUAAACUAGAGCGCUUUCAAAAUUUGGUUCUUCAAGAGUUGAGCAGUCUUAAGCAGGAUAUUCAGGCCCUGGAACACCUUGAGAAGGAGGUUCUGGAAUUCUGGGGGAAACAGUCUGCUGAUCUGCAGUCUUUCUGUGAUCUGCAAGUGCUGAGGUUCAAUUCAACUCAGACUUCAUAAGAAAGCCAAAGCCUGGUUUUAUGAUUGCAGCCCUCAGGUAGGUGCAAAGAUUUGCAUUGUUCAGUGGAUGUGAAUCGGGGUCAGGGCAGGGAGCAAGCUCUAAAAGAUACUGUAAUGCUUUGUUCAUA
rnacentral:lncRNA from 1 species